UGGCGGAUGGGUGAGUAACGCGUAGGAACCUAUCGUGAAGUGGGGGAUAACGCUGGGGAACCGGCGCUAAUACCGCAUGGCCUCGGAGACGAGGAAAGCAGCAAUGCGCUUCAUGAGGGGCCUGCGUCCGAUUAGCUUGUUGGUGGGGUAAAGGCCUACCAAGGCGACGAUCGGUAGCUGGUCUGAGAGGAUGGUCAGCCACACUGGGACUGAGAUACGGCCCAG
rnacentral:rRNA from 1 species